UAUUACCUACGGGAGGCAGCAGUGGGGGAUAUUGCACAAUGGGGGGAACCCUGAUGCAGCGACGCCGUGUGGGUGAAGAAGCUCCUCGGCGCGUAAAGCCCUGUCAGCAGGGAAGAAAAUGACGGUACCUGAAGAAGAAGCCCCGGCUAACUACGUGCCAGCAGCCGCGGUAAUACGUAGGGGGCAAGCGUUAUCCGGAUUUACUGGGUGUAAAGGGGGCGCAGACGGCGAUGCAAGCCAGGAGUGAAAGCCCGGGGCCCAACCCCGGGACUGCUCUUGGAACUGCGUGGCUGUAGUGAAGGAGG
rnacentral:rRNA from 1 species